rnacentral:rRNA from 1 species
AAUAUUGGACAAUGGGCGAAAGCCUGAUCCAGCAAUGCCGCGUGAGUGAUGAAGGCCUUAGGGUUGUAAAGCUCUUUUAGCUGUGAAGAUAAUGACGGUAGCAGCAGAAGCAGUCCCUGCUAACUCCGUGCCAGCAGCCGCGGUAAUACGGAGGGGACUAGUGUUGUUCGGAAUUACUGGGUGUAAAGCGAACGUAGGCGGAUCGGAAAGUUGGGGGUGAAAUCCCGGGGCUCAAACCCGGAACUGCCUUUAAUACUGCCGGUCUAGAGUUCGAGAGAGGUGAGUGGAAUUCCGAGUGUAGAGGUGAAAUUCGUAGAUAUUCGGAGGAACACCAGUGGCGAAGGCGGCUCACUGGCUCGAUACUGACGCUGAGGUGCGAAAGCGUGGGGAGCAAACA